CGAAAGAUUGAUUUAGUUACUUAUUAGGAUGAAUAAUUGAUAAAAAAUAAAAUCCAUAUAUAAUUAAAAUAAUGAUAUUAAUUACUUCAAAGAAUGAAGUUAUUUUAAUAAAUAUAAAUUAAUAUAUUAAUUAAAAUAAUAGAAUAGUCUUAACAAAUAAUUGUGCCAGCAGUUGCGGUUAUACAAUGAAGGCUAACGUUAAUCAUAAUGGUUUAAAGGAUUUGUAGAAUGAAUAUUAAUAAUAAAUAAUAUUUAGAGUUAAUUAAAAUAUAAUUAAAGAAUUAUAAUAGUAAGGAUGAAAUAAUAAUAAUAAUUAUAAGACUGGUAAUAAUGAAAAUAUUAAUUAAUAAUUAACUGACAUUGAGAAAUGAAAACUAAAGUAGCAAAACAGAUUCGAUACCUGUGUAGUUUUAGUAGUAAACGAUGAAUACAUAUUUUAUAAUAAUAUUAUUAAUUUAUAAAAUAAAAUGAAAAUUAAAGUAUUCCACCUGAAGAGUAUAUUAGCAAUAAUGAAACUCAAGACAAUAGACGGUUACAGACUUAAGUAGUGGAGCAC
rnacentral:rRNA from 1 species